GCGGGCGUGGCGUAAUUGGCAGCCGCGCCAGACUUAGGAUCUGGUGCCGCAAGGCGUGGGGGUUCGAGUCCCUUCGCCCGCACAA
rnacentral:tRNA from 1 species